UUCAGGAUCUUAUAAUGCCAGAUAUUCCUCACUCUCUCAACAUUUCAGAAAUGAUGCAAUUUAUGCAAGUCAACAUAGAGUUUUUAAAUCUGUUUUCAGAUAUGGAUUGCAGAUUAUGUAAAAUUCCAAAUAAUCCAAGUUUUAAAUCAUCCUCUAAAUAUAAUUCAAAUAAAAAAGAAAAUACUUUACUUUCUCAACAAAGAAGUAGUGAUGGAAAAUUGAAAA